UGCUGUGGACUGCAGUGCCUAGUGUGAAGUGAACACGUGUGAUUCUUUGAGGUGAUCUAUUGUAUGCACAAGUGUGGAUGGAUAAUUCUGCUACCCGCUCUGAGGAGAAGCCGUUGGGCGAAGAUCCCUGUAUCACUGUCUGUUUGAUCACCUGCUGUUCAAGGAGGAACUGUCGUGGGCUCGAUCCUACUAUACAUAAUUUUUACUGGUUUGGAGAGGAACUGCUGUGCUACUCCCUUGUCACUGUUAUGCAGGUAUUGGCCAUUGGCUGUCCCGAAGAGGAACCAUUACUUACCAUCGAUUGCUUGGAAAGGAAUCGCUGAGUGGAGAUCUCGUAGCCCUAUCUGUGCUGUUAUCUGCUCUGUGGAAGGAUUGAGUUGGCUUCCCGUUCUGUUAUCUGUUGGGUUGGGACCAUUGUGCCAAGAGCCCCCACCGCUGCUGGACCGAGGGGAACAGAGUUGGAACUCUUUCAUCAUGUGUUUUAGCAUUUAGGAUCUUAACUUAAUAAAACUGAUCUUUUAUAAUUA